CAAAAACAUCGCCUCCUGCAAUAAACAUAUAGGAGGUCUUACCUGCCCAGUGACUACAAGUUAAACGGCCGCGGUAUUUUGACCGUGCAAAGGUAGCGCAAUCACUUGUCUUUUAAAUGAAGACCCGUAUGAAUGGUGAAACGAGGGCUUAACUGUCUCCCUUCUCCAGUCAAUGAAAUUGAUCUACCCGUGCAGAAGCGGGUCUACUAAUACAAGACGAGAAGACCCUUUGGAGCUUAAGAUAAAAACCAACUAUGUUAAUAACCCAAAAAAACUUAAACCAAAUAGCCAUGGUCUAUAUCUUCGGUUGGGGCGACCACGGGAGAAAAUAAAGCUCCCAUGUAGAUAGGGGUAAACCUAAAGCCAAGAGAGACAUCUCUAAGACACAGAACAUCUGACCAAAUUGAUCCGGCCAACCCGCCGACCAACGAACCAAGUUACCCUAGGGAUAACAGCGCAAUCCCCUUUCAGAGUCCAUAUCGACAAGGGGGUUUACGACCUCGAUGUUGGAUCAGGACAUCCUAAUGGUGCAGCCGCUAUUAAGGGUUC
rnacentral:rRNA from 1 species